rnacentral:rRNA from 1 species
UAGGAUGCUUGCAUUUAACUGAUUUAACAUUGAGACGAGUGGCGAACUGGUGAGUAACACGUGGGUAACCUGCCCUUGAAGUAGGGGAUAACACUUGGAAACAGGUGCUAAUACCGUAUAACAACCAAAACCACCUGGUUUUGGUUUAAAAGAUGGCUUCGGCUAUCACUUUAGGAUGGACCCGCGGCGUAUUAGCUUGUUGGUAAGGUAACGGCCUACCAAGGCAAUGAUACGUAGCCGACCUGAGAGGGUAAUCGGCCACAUUGGGACUGAGACACGGCCCAAACUCCUACGGGAGGCAGCAGUAGGGAAUCUUCCACAAUGGACGAAAGUCUGAUGGAGCAACGCCGCGUGAGUGAUGAAGGGUUUCGGCUCGUAAAACUCUGUUGUUGGAGAAGAACAGGUGUGAGAGUAACUGUUCACAUCUUGACGGUAUCCAACCAGAAAGCCACGGCUAACUACGUGCCAGCAGCCGCGGUAAUACGUAGGUGGCAAGCGUU